GGGAAUUUACUUAACCGUCUCCAUAGGAAUGGUCUGGCCCAGCUAUUAAAAGGUUCACACAGAAAAAAGAAAAGUUGGGAGACAAAAUUAGCUGAGUAGAGGCCAUGUCUGCUUUUGGAAGGGCUAUGGUCAACUCACAGUCCUGCUGAAUCUACAGAGAGAGAGAGAAACUAGACCCCAGGCUGAGUAGUCUGUAGUGAAUUUUGUAUGCAGCUCUCAACAAAAGAGCACUCAGACACCCUGGCACCAAAGAUAUGAACAAGAAAACGCUGAGAACAUAUAUCUGUUUAUCCGUCUGUGAUCCCAAAAGAACUCAUUUAGUAAAAGGUCUUGGACUCCAAAUGCAUCAGUCUGUUUCCUUCCUGAUGGUCCCUGCUACAUAUGUGGCCGCUUGGACAUCUGAAAGGAAAGGGGCCUGUGCUAUUCUGAUGUUCAUCCAGUAAACAACAAAUUGGUGCUUAAAAUGGGGAAGCGGGAAGCUCUUCCCAGAAGAAUCCAGAUUCCAGGAUCUAAGGGGGUCAUGUUGAUCCUAGAAGCAGCCACUGUGUGAGGAUCCUUCUGUCCAUGAGGCCACCAAAUCUAUUCUGCUCCUGGGGACCAGACAAGAUUUUCAGUCCUCCGUGGCUGAACCACCACUUAGCUUUUUAGGAAGGAGAGACACAAGGCUCAGCCAGAGGAAUUUGGAUCAUCUCACUACAAUCGUGUGUGAAGGCAGAGGGCACAGACAAAAGAGAAGAGAUGGGGCCGUCAAGGCAGGACCAGGGGAUCCAGAUGGCACAUCUUGUGGCAUGAUGCUCAUUCACGUCCAGCAGUGCCGCAGGGAGGAGGCAGAAAGACUCUGGGCCUCAGCCCCACAUCAGAGCCUUGCCAGAGCCAGUGUCACUGCAGCAACUGAGAUGGAGCAAGCCCUGAGUCUGGAACACAGCUUUUCUCUUCUUGGCAAGGAACUGCCAGCUUCACCGACCAUGGUCUAAUCCAAGGAGCUACAGAAUCCACAUGACCCUUUUAUGGAGCCUCCCUGAUUUCAGGCUCCUGCCCUGGAUACAGAGCCAGAAAGAGCAAAGAAAGGAAAUUCUGUGCUUUUCAAGUUGUCCGAAAUUUGUCCAGGGGAGCCCCUUGAAGCAAAUCCUGUGUCAUUUUGACACACCUUCAGUUUUAAACACCUUAUGGUGGUAUUUAAAAUGAAAGAAAGAAAUCAAGGUUGAAAUGCUGAAGAAGGAAGAAGAGCCACAAAGGACAAGACAAGAGAAAGAUAGUUCUGAUGACAAUGAAACUCUUUUUAACUAAAACAGAACUCUUGUCUUCAGCCAGAGCUCUCUGUUGUCCACCGCUGGGACUUAGAUAUAUUCAGGAGCCACAGGGACAGGCCUGACAACAGGAAACAUACAUGGAAAGUCUCCUGGGAAGAACUCAAGAUUUUUCACCUGAUGGACUUUAAAGUAUUAAGGCAUGCCUGGCAAAUAGUCUAUUUUCAGAAGGGUGAAGGAAGGUAGGACUCAUCCUAAGGAAAGAGACAGUUGGGCACAAUGGAUUGGUCCUUGGUUGUUAAAGGAGAAUAGAAGUUAUUAAAAAUGAAAGUAUGGGGGAUACUACAGGAAUCCACCUCCAGCCAGCCCUGUAGGUGAGAGAGAGGUAACUGAGAGGAAUGGGAACUCUAGCUCAUGGAGGUUCAAGCAACACUGCUUUGGAACCCUUCUAGCAGAAGGCAACACACCGGGGAGACAGCUGCACUUCCCCUUGGCAGCACAGCUUGUUAUGGAAUGAAUGUUUGUGUCCCUAAAAUUCAUACACUGAAAUCCUAAUCCCCAAUGUGAUGGUAUUAGGAGGUGGGGCCUUUGGGUGGUAAAUAGGUCAUGUGGGUGGAGCCAUCACGAAUGGGAUUAAUGCCCUUAUAAAAGGGAUCCAGAGAGUUGUCCCUCUCGUCCUCGCUCUCGCUCUUGCUCUCUUCCUCCCAUGUGAAGACCCAAAGAGAAGUGAGCAGCCUGCAACCCAGGAGAGGGCCUGGCCUUGCCAGAACCUGGCCAUGCUGCACCCUGACCUCAGACUUCUAGACCUCCGAGCUGCGAGAAAUACACUUCUGUUGUUUAUAAACCAUCUAGUCUAUGGUAAUUAGUUAUAGCAGCCCUAAUGAGCUAAGACACAACCCCAUACAGCUUUGGUUUCCAGGGAAGCCACAGCAGAAUCUACUUUGGCUGGCAGAUCACUUGCACCUGGUGGAACAGUGCAGACACUACCAGAGAGGGCUUCUUUAUGAGAACCUUGGGACUGACCCACAGAAAUACAUGAAAUGGAAAAGAAGAUGAACUAUUUAGAUAACUCUACAUGAACAGCCUAGGCCGAUUAAUUUAGGCUACAAAAUAAAUAGUCCUUUGCCUGGGAAGUAGACAUGGAAGUUAUAAUGAUCCCUGAAACAAAGGCUCAGUGGGGUCCUCCUGUGUCUCAAGGCCAACUAGCUAGUAAGUAGUACUCACAGGACCUGAACUCCUAGUCCAACAUCCUCUCCACCUAGCAGAAAGGAAAUGAAGGCAGAUGUGGAAUUCCAGAAGGAUGGAAAGAGAAGUCAACAUCGCCACAGUAAGAAAAGUGUGGAUGAGAAUGAUGUAGGAAGAGUCAGAAUGGUCUGCAUACGAGAGCCAAGAAGGUCACCUCAGGAACCCCAAGACUGAGGAAGAGAUUCCAUGGAAGCCAAAGGUACCCCAGGGCAGCACCGUUAAGGGACAGGAGAGAUCAGGAACAUGCCCUACUGGCUCUGCCUCAGAUGACCAACAAACACGGUCCAUAGUCAAAUGGAAUGGGGAGAAUAAAGGAAAAACUGCACCUCAACGAAAGCAGAAAUGAUCACAGGCAGAAUCACAGUGGGGAAAGAAGGCAAGAAGCAGGAACAAUGAAACAAAAGUCGAUGUCAGGCCUUUGUUGGGCAAUACCCACUAUUCAUAAGUAUUUGUGAUAGACGAAGAUGCCCUCAGGGAAACACUUCAACAAAAGCACAAGAUCAAACCUUGACGGGAAUGGCUGCCAGUCCCUAAUACAAACCUUUGCUUAUUUAUUUUAAAUCUCUGAGCAUCACUUACAGGAAAAAUAAACUUUCCUUCCAAAACUAAGUUUGCUUAUAUGCAUUGUCUAUUGCCUCCCCCUAGUGAUUGGAUAUGUGAAAUGCCAUAAGAAUCUAUUGGCAGAGCUGGAGAAAUUAAGUGACCGCGAUGAUGGUGAUGACAAUGACGAUGAUGAUGAUGAUGAUGCCUUUUUAUACUUGAACAGUACUGCAUGCUCCUCAAAGUGCUUUCACACAGGUAAUUUCAUGUAUCUGGAUAACUACUUUGUAAAAUAGACAAUAUGGAUUCCACUUCCAAAUCAUCUCACACUGACAUUGCUUUGGAGCCUAUUAAUCAAAAUCCGAGACAGAAAACUACCUAGGGAUUUGGAGUCAGACCUACAUUUGUAGCCUGGUGCCACCAUGCACCCCUUUGUGAUUUCGAGCCAGUGGCUUAAACCAUGAGCCUCCAUUUCCAUAUGUGUAAAAGGGGUUGAGACUGUAUAUAUCAUAGAGAUACAAUAACCACUAUAUGAAUCAUUCAGUACUGGCUUGAGCACUGUGCCUGGUGUGAGGUAAGACCUUUUAAAAUGUCAUGGUGGUGGUUGUUGUUGCUGCUGCUGCUGCUGCUGCUUGUUAAUGGCAUCUUUUAGGAGUGGUCUUUCACUUCCUCAGGAUCACAUUUAUGAUUUCUGAGCCUGCUGGGAGACAAUUCUUCCUUGUAUCUAACUGAAAAACAUGUACUUUACUUAAAUCUACUUUCAACCAGAUGCAGGAGCUUGUGCCUGUAAUCCCAGUGCUUUGGGAGGCUGAGGCAGGAGGAUCGCUUAAGGCCAGGAGUUCAAGUCUGCAGUGAACCAUGAUCACACCACUGCACUACAGCCUGGGUGACAGAGCAAGACCCUGUCUCAGAAAAAAAAAAAAAAAAUCUACUUCUCUUUCUCAAUUUUCCUUAUUUUCCAGUUAUUUUUCCCUCCUUGGCCUGGCUUAUGACCUGUCUUAGGGUUCAUUUCUAAAGCAGAAGAACCUUGGCCUGACAAGAAGUGCAAAAUUGCAGGGUGUCCUUUCCAGAUGCUCCUUCAGAUGCUAUAAAGUCUGCCUGUCCAGCCUAGGAACCCUGGGAGCUAAGUGCAAUCAGAAGAGCACAUUAGACCAGGCGUUGCUCAGAACAAUUCUCUUCCUCAAAGACUUUAUCCCUGGUGGUUAAAGAGGAACUAGUGGUCAUAAGAAAGUGUGGAAAAAUCAGAUAGGGAGCUUUUUAAGACUCUAAAUCUGGCUUAUUAUCAGUGAGCAAGCUUAUGAAGCACACAUGCACCUGAGUGCAUGCGCACACACACACACACAGAGGUUCACAGCAAUUAUGGGCUUAUGAGAUCUGCCUGGGGAUAGCGAAAAGUAAUUCCUGAAGUCAGCUACCAAAAAUAGCUCCAGCACCUGGGCUUAGCAGACGUCAGGAUGAAAAGCAAACAGCUUAUUCUUGAGCAAACACUUUUGACACAACCACAAGUCACCCAGGCAGCCCUCAUCGCAGGUGCUGGCCUGUCUCCACUUCAUGGAGGAGUCAAGAGUCUGCCACAUCCCAUUAGGCCUUAUGAAAUAAUAAGUAGGAGAGAAAGUAAAAUGGUAUUCAGGAACUACAGAAACUUCUUUAUCCUGAUGCUUCCUUCCUACUGCUGAAGAAAACACCAUCCUUGCCACCUCCAAGUGGCAGAAGUCUAUAAUUCUUUUUCCUGCAUACUAGGAAGGUCUUUCUCAAUAGUUAUGCCCUGGGAUGUGAGAUACCAGCCCACACAAUCAAGCCCGUGCAUGCCUCUCUGCAAUGAGCUUGGAGAACUCAUACUCCAGUCCCUAAAGUGCACACAGCAGACUCCAUCCAAGUGUCAGUUUCUUCAAAGCUUCCAGCCUUCCCUGUGAGCCCACACCAAGGGUGGACAAAACUGUAACAAACCAGGGACCUGCCAUGCUGACCCCACCUCAGGAGCCAGGGACACUUGGGAACCAGAGGCCUAAUUCACUGUGCUUAGCAUCGUAUUUGCACCACCAUAUUUGCACUCAACAAUAUCUGAUUGAAGGAUUCUAUUCAUGCACAUUGAAAAAAAUGAUGUCUCCAAGUCUUAGGUGAUGGUGGGUGAAAUGUACAGGACCAAGAAGAUACAGCUCUUGCGCUGGGAGAUGAACAUUCAUUGAGUACUGUCUACGUGCCAGGCAGUGUAAGAUGCUUGACCCACAUUUAUCCUAUAGUCCUCACAAUGAUCUAUGAGAAGGUGUUAGAAUCCUUGCUGGACAGGUACAAAGAUUGGGGCUGUAAAAGUUUAGGCCACUCGCUGAUGGCUACACAGCUUGAGGAACAGAACAAGAAUUUGGAACCAAAGGCUGUCUACUUAAAGGUGGUGUGAUUACAAUGCUGACAUCCUAAGAAGCAGCAAAUGUUACUGUGAGUGGGAACCUGAAAAGAUGGCUCACCUGGCUGGGACAAGCUUAGCUAAGGCAGCAUUUAAUAGGCAAGCUGUGCACCUCCUCAGUCCAGUCUGGACACCCAAAUCUUGACUGCAGUUGUCCGUUGAGGGCUACCUUAUUCAAGAACUGAAGAGGGUUCUUUAACUUUAUGAAGCCAGCACAAAGAACCAGAUAAGAAUGACCACAUUCACUCUAGGGAAUGAGGUUAAGAGCAUAGAGGUUCUAGUGUCACAUUACCUGGGUGACGCCUUGAUUAAGCCACUUAGUAGCUGUAUGAUCUUGGGCAAGUCAAUGAAUCUCUCUGGGUCUCAGUUUUCUCAUCUGUACAAUGGGAUAAAAAUGGAAUCUACUUCAUUUAGUGGAAGGUUUAAUGAGAUGAUAUCCUGAAAGUACUUAGCACAGCAGCUGAAACAUUGCAAUUAUUCAAUUCAUGGUCACCACUGUUAUUACUAUAUUCCUAUCAUUACAGUUAUCAAUCAUAAUUAUAUACAAUAAAAGAUAAAUAAUCUGUACUAGGGUGGA
rnacentral:lncRNA from 1 species